rfam:Felis catus isolate Cinnamon breed Abyssinian chromosome E1, whole genome shotgun sequence.
UCCUGGCUGGCUCAGUCAGAAGAGCAUGCGACUCUUGAUCUCAGGGUCAUGAGUUCAAACCCAUGUUGGGUA